rnacentral:lncRNA from 1 species
AUAGAGGGCAUUCCGUUCGUUCCGUUCCUAUGGGAAAAUGGGACCGGGACCAGAACGGGCUCGGGACUCCGAAACCCAUUGAUAUAGGGAGAGAAGAAGAAAGAGGAAAGAAUGAAAGAAAGGAAAGACAAAGAAAAUAAAAAAAUGAAAGGAAAGAAGAAGAAAAAUGAAAAGAGAAUGGAAGGGAGAUGAAAAAGAAAAAAAAAGAAAGGAAAGAAAAAAAAAGUAGAGAAAAAGAAAGAUUAGAAGGAAAAAAGAAAAUAUGAA